UACGUAGGGCGCAAGCGUUGUCCGGAAUUAUUGGGCGUAAAGAGCUCGUAGGCGGCUUGUCACGUCGGGUGUGAAAGCCCGGGGCUUAACCCCGGGUCUGCAUUCGAUACGGGCUAGCUAGAGUGUGGUAGGGGAGAUCGGAAUUCCUGGUGUAGCGGUGAAAUGCGCAGAUAUCAGGAGGAACACCAAUGGCGAAGGCAGCUCGCUGGGACGGUACUGACGCUGAGGCGCGAAAGCGUGGGGAGCGAACAGG
rnacentral:rRNA from 1 species